AUUGAACGCUGGCGGCAUGCUUUACACAUGCAAGUCGAACGGUAACAGGGAGCUUGCUCCGCUGACGAGUGGCGAACGGGUGAGUAAUGCAUCGGAACGUGCCGUGUAGUGGGGGAUAACGUAGCGAAAGUUACGCUAAUACCGCAUACGCCCCGAGGGGGGAAAGUGGGGGACCGCAAGGCCUCACGCUAUACGAGCGGCCGAUGUCGGAUUAGCUAGUUGGUAGGGUAAAGGCCUACCAAGGCGACGAUCCGUAGCGGGUCUGAGAGGAUGAUCCGCCACACUGGGACUGAGACACGGCCCAGACUCCUACGGGAGGCAGCAGUGGGGAAUUUUGGACAAUGGGCGCAAGCCUGAUCCAGCCAUGCCGCGUGAGUGAAGAAGGCCUUCGGGUUGUAAAGG
rnacentral:rRNA from 1 species